CUGCUGCUGGUCUAUCGGUAUAGCGAGUUCCAGGCUAGCCAGAGCCACAUAAGAUCACCCCGUCUCAAAAAUAUGGUAGUUUAGAUAGACAGGAACUGAGAUGACUUACCCCCAGAGAGCUUUAUUGAGAGGGUGACAUCUAUCAGGAAACACAUGGGUAGCUGCAGAGGCUGCAACAUAACAACUAUCGCCCACUUGCGAAUGAUGCCUGGCUACUUUUGCCCCGAUGAAAAGCAGGGCAUGGUUCGUGGAAGCUAAAAUAUUUACCGUCUGGCUCGUUCCAGGGAGCGAUGCCAACUCCCGAUUAAAUCUGUGUUCUCUGUAUGAACUCUGCCCAGAGCACACAUCACCCUAAUUCUCCUCUCUGACUUUUCUCUUGAUAUUGAGUGAUGUCAAAUGCCGUCUCACGGAGGCAUCCCAUGGCUGAUUGACAGAUCGAUAUCCCUAAGGAGCUGUCCACAAGCAGUGUUACAAUAAUGAGUACCCUGAUGUGGCAUGUACCUGAAGUCCCAGCCGCAUGGAAGGCUGAGGCAGGAGGAUUGCUUGAGCAGAGAAGUUUGAGCUACAGCACUCAAGACGGAAGAGCCCCCUCCAAGCCCCCAAAGACACACAGUGAAGAGACCUCCUUCAAAGUUCCUAUCAGGUCUUAUCAGCAGCACAAGCCCCUCCCACCUUUCUGUCCAUUUGCACCACGUGCACUGUGCAGUGCUCAGGGACACCACAAGAGGGCGUGAGAUCCCCUAGAACCGAUUACAGAGCGUGGUGAGCUGCCAGCCUUGGAAGGAACGCAGAUGUCACAUUUGGGGCUGAGGACUCGACAGUGACUUGCUCUCAGGAUAUUGACCAACAGUGAGUCUCUGCACGCAUGACCUGCUGCCCACUGCAAAUUAACGUUUCUCUGACCAAGGUGGCAUCACUCUCUCUGUAAACAUCAAGAUUUAGAAGUCAGUUUUUACCGCAUGUUCAGUUGGCAAAACAAAAGUGAUGGAUUCUGUCCUGGGGGUUAUUACCUUCCCAGCCACGGGCUUUGGAACAGGGUCAGAGUAUCGGGUAUGAAUUCCCUCAUGAGGAGCAGGCCUUAAGGAUCACAAUAGAAGCUUCCAGGUUGGAACCAACUUUUUUCCAAUCCCUUGCAAGGAUGUGAUUGCCUCCCCAUCAAGCCGGAAACAACGGAGCUGAAUGGCCGAGGACUGAGGCUCCAAAAGCAGGAACCAAAAGAAACCCGUGCUCACUUAGGGUGCUCUCUUCAGGUAUUUUGCCAGAGCGACGGAGAGCCUGACAUACUGACACUCUGAGGCAGAGCGCUCAGUGCAAGGAGCUUUCCUCACUUGUGACCAAUGGAAAGUAGGGAAACGUUGACGUGACCACGUGGCAUUGUUAGCACCUUCAUCAUCAUAUAAAUAAACCACAGAGAGCCUUUUCCUACACAAGGAGCAGUGGCAGCUCAGUUAAUGAAGCUUCUUCCGCACAGAAGAGAAAGCUUGUUAGCUACAGUGCGGCUCCAGCCCCAGGAGUCAGUUGUGGUACCCGAUGAUGAAAGACGUGCCUGUCUCUUCCGCCCCACGAGCACUCUGGCCUGGUGUGGUAAUUUAGGAGUGUGGGGGGAGACGGGAAACAAUGGUGCUCUUUUCUUGCGUCUGAUGCUGCCUUGGUUUCCAUUCUGACGCUACUCAUUGGUUCCGAAGACCUGCCGGGCGUGACCUUGGUUUUACCAAGCCGAUCCAGCGGAGUUCUCUACAUCUGAGAACAGCGAGCUUUAACCGCGGCAGGCCUCCCUGGUGUUGAAGCAGAUGGGUCGUUCGGAAAGAAGCCUGUGUGGAGCUAAGCUCUGUGACUUUCUGAUGUGCCAAAUCACCUCCCCACCAUUUUGGAAUUACGCACUGGGAAGUGUUUUCGAAGAUGCCCUUUUAUGUGUUAAUUUUGCAAAAAAUAAAAUAAAUAAAUAAAUCCACAAUUAGAAUUUCAAAUCACCUGAGCAACACAAGAAAAUGAGAAGUUGCAAAUCAAAACUAAGGACUUAAUUAGAAUUUAGCAUUAGGAAGACAAUUAAUUAAUCUGCACAGACUGAAGACAGCCUGUCAUUGCCAGCUCAGGGACACAUUCGCCAGACUAUGAUAUCCUGAAUUGGCUAUUUUCACUCAAUGCUCCUUAAAUAAACAAAAUGGGAAGACUAAAGCAGAGGAAAGCAGGCCUUACUAUCUAUCACGUGACCCCUUCGGGAAGAAAAUGGCUUUUCUUUUUUUUUUUCCCCCUUUUUUUCCCGGAGCUGGGGACCGAACCCAGGGCCUUGUGCUUGCUAGGCAAGCGCUCUACCACUGAGCUAAAUCCCCAACCCCUGAAAAUGGCUUUUCUUAAAAGGUUUGUUAGACUAUGUACUGAAGUCAUCUUUAAAUCUCAGAACUUCCCCCAAAACUAUUGUCCAAUCUUCACAGUAAUAAAUGCGUGAAAUGUUUCAAUUUUCCACGACCUGCCUCGCCUCU
ensembl:lncRNA